GAAGGUGGCAAGCGUUAUUCGGAUUUACUGGGCGUACAGGGAGCGUAGGCGGUUCGGUAAGCCCUCUGUGAAAUCUUCAGGCUUAACCUGGAAAAGUCGGAGGGGACUGCUGGGCUAGAGGACGGGAGAGGAGCGCGGAAUUCCCGGUGUAGCGGUGAAGUGCGUAGAGAUCGGGAGGAAGGCCGGUGGCGAAGGCGGCGCUCUGGAACGUUUCUGACGCUGAGGCUCGAAAGCGUGGGGAGCAAACAGGAUUAGAUACCCUGGUAGUCCACGCCUUAAACUAUGAAUACUAAGUGUCGGCGGUUUACCGCCGGUGCCGCAGCUAACGCAUUAAGUAUUCCGCCUGGGAAGUACGGCCGCAANGNNG
rnacentral:rRNA from 1 species